rnacentral:sRNA from 1 species
GGAAGGACUGUUGAAGAUCCGGCUGAAGUGAUCUGCAAGUUAUUGGGAGUCUGAGCUGUCUGUAUCAAGAGACUCCUUUGUGCUAUCUGUGAACUGUAUUGAGGACCUGGGGCGGCACUGGAAAGUGUGUCGGUGACCGUCAACCAUGUGAUGUGGGAAGAACCUGCGCAAGGGUCAAAGUUCAAGACUCAGAGAACAGGAACUGCAGUAAAGACAUUGGCUCUACGUAUGAUUGCCGGCUUCAACUAAAAGAUUCAUUUGGCUUGACUACGACAGCGAUACUUGUCGAUAACAACACUUUGAGGGUAAUGAAAGCUGGGCAAUACAUGAUUCAAUCAAUCGUAUUUAUUGAAGGAGGCCUAAAGAAUGGAUCUGAUGACAGUCAGGAAAGUCCCUUGAAUAUUUACGUAGCAAGAGAGCCAUUGUCAAACCAAACUACGAAAGUUUUGUUAACGAAUUAUACAGAACAUAAAAACUUCAGUCAUAUUUAUGGACUUCAUAACUUCGAUACAGCGGACUUUGUUUUUGUGACUUUCUCUACGACAGUGAACAGCCCAGCUUCAUUUUUAGAAUUAAUAUUCAUACAACCAUAUUUUGUGAUUGAUGGACUUGAAUGGUGAAUACGUCUUGAUCUCUUCAGAAGUGAAAUAUGAUGACGUAAUGUCCAAAGUAUCCCAGAGGCCCUUGUUUAGGGGAAGAGAGUUCCUUUUUACGAAAUGAAAUAUUUUAAUCUUCAAUCGUGCAAAGAUUGAACACACUUUUAUAUCAAGCAAUAAUACACACUAUAAUCCUAAUUCAAUAAAAAAUAAAUCAUAGAAAUAAACUUAACAUCAUAAUUUAAUAAUUGUUUGACCUAUAAGGCACUGUUAACAAACAUUAUGUAGACUCAAGGGACUAUUAUGACAUAACAGACAGUUGAAAUGACAAGCUAAUCUAAAAAAGUUUUGAACAGAUAGGUCUGAAUGUUAUUCUUGUAGUGAUGCACAUGGUUUGUAUAGUUCCAUGGUUUGUCAAAAAAAAAAACCCACACAAAUCGUAAUUUUUGAGUGAGAAACAAGGCCCGACUAGAAGCGUUGAGUCCAUGGGGCACAGGGCUCUCGGAGGGACAUAAUGGAGUGAUCAGUUCGCAAAGGUACAAAGGCAUUUUAAUGUUUUAGAUCCACUGAUGGCAAAGUGUGGCCAUCUUGUCGUCGAUUCUUGCAUUUACAAGAGAGAAGUUGCGGAAUCACGUCUUGUUUUCGUACGACUAGUCCUGCAGCAUGGUUCUGAAUUUGCUCCGUCUUAGCGAUUUUGUCCUCGGGUAAACCCGCUAGCACGGUGGUAGUCAAGGCGGGAGAGUAUAGAUGCCACAGCGAGCUUUUCUGUUGAGGCCGUUAUUAAAUUGGUCGAAUCUUGCCUAAUCUGCGCAUCUGCAGAGAAAGGCCCUUGCUGAGCUGACUUAUGUAAGGGUCAAAAGACAGAGCUGAGUUGAAGAAAACUGCCAGAUUGGACGUGGACAAAUGCAACCUGGCAGUUUGUGACUAGGGAAUCUGUACUCUACUUUUGUCAUAUUUUUUUGAGUGCCUAUCUUAAUUGCUUCUCGAGCUUUUUCUCAACUACCCAGGGAAUCACCAUGGCAACAGUUCCGCAGAUUGUUGUUGCCACAAAGCUUGAAACUUUCAUACUGAAUAGACUAUCAACGUCUAGUCUUUCGACUCAGGACCGGACACCACAGAAGGAGACAACAUAUGUACCGGAAGCUCAAAAUUGGAACAAGUG